AGUCGUGUGCUCCAUGGACUGAACCAGCCAGGUUCCCCCGCCCCCCCAAGAUGGUUUCAUCUUUGAGAACUUACUGAUAUUCCUUGCCCUAAGCCUUGGUUGAAAUUCCACUCAUACAUCCCAAAAGCUUUCUGCAGUUUUGAAUCUUAGAAAGAAAUGUUAGGGAAAUAUGAAUCCCCUUAUUCCAGAAAAACCCUUAUACAAGUUGGAACACUUCCUCCCUCCUGCCUACUGAGGCUACUCAGGGAGGGGCAGCCUGUAUAGAGAGGCAUGGAUGCUUCUGGUAUUUCUUCCUUCAGGACAGGGGCUGCCUACCAUCUGGUUAACUAAGAGGGGCCAGUCAAGUGACUUCUUGAAAUAGAAAGUCAGCUUCAAGUGACCGAGACAAAAGACUAGCAUUUUACAAAUUCCUCUCAUUGCAUUUUUUGUUUUGUUUUGUUUUCAAAUGACCCUUUAUUGAAAUAUUUUCCUUUGCAGUUCUUAACUAGCAGGGCAUUCCACUGCACCACGAUCGAUGUCAUCUAAGAUGUUACGAGGGCGGUGGCCAUCAGCAUUGCAGCCCACAGACUGCGCAGUCCCCAAGAUCUCUUUAAUGGUUCCAGAGAGUUCUCAGGCUAAAGAUUGGUGCCGCAUUUGUCAGGCAAUGUUGACAAUCUCAUCAAAAGUGAUAUUUCCACUGUGCUUCAUGUUUGUCUGCUUCUUUCUGUCUCUUGGCGGUUCCUUGAGGGCUCUGAUAAUCAGGGCAGAGGCAGAAGGUACCACUUCAAUCUGAGCCUGUCUGUUCUGAACGAUCAGCAUCACUGUCAUCCACAAACCCUUCCAAUCUCCAGUCACCCGUUGCCUUGGCGAUGUCAUCACCAAUCUCUCUUGGAGACAGACCCAGGGGGCUGAUCUACCAGGCUAGGGCAGACCCGGAACUAACUUCCUCACCCGUGCACCUCAGGUAUACAACUUUGAUCUUGUUGGGGUCCAACUUAGGCAGCAGGGUGGAGGUGGCUGGUGUCGGGUGAACCCGGAUUCGUGAUGACAGAAGACAGUUGCACCUUCGCCUCCUCCCAGCCGAAAGCCGAAAGUUCCUUGCAUAUUUAAUCCUGCUGUUGAUGAGCAACUUAGCACACGUGCACACUCAGAGACAUGUUUACAAACGCAGAAAAGGAACCUGUGACGAAAUCAUUUGCUCGGGGUCACCUAGCUAGGAGGGCUAGCAAAGGUGUUCAAACCAGAUUUGGCUACUUGCAUAUCCCAGGAUCUCAGUGCCCCCUCCACUGCCCCCCACCUCCCUGCAGCUGCUUAUUGCUGACAUUUCCUCUUGGAAGACCUACCGGGCACUUCUUCCUCAUCUUCUCUCCUAAAUCAGCUAAAGAGCCAAAGUCUGACGGAGUCCCACAAGUUGGGAGGCCAAAUACCAGCCUCAAGGGCCAAGGUGAGGGGCUGAGCGGAAGAUGCCUGGCAACUGAGCCAGUCAGCAUGAGAUGGGCAAGGUUCUAGCGGUGACUCCACUGCAGGCCAGGCUGGUGUGGUCGCACUGGCGGGACUCGGCUGGCUUCUGGACAUGGUGUCAGAGCCAGCCUGUCAGCCCUGGAUCCCCAACCCCCCGGCCGUCUAGCUCUGCUUCCUGGGGACUGAGUGUGCUGGAGCUGUCUCUGGGGCCAGAGCAGUGUGGGCCUCCCUGGAAAAAUCUGCUCCCCUGCUGAAAUAAUUUUGAAAGCCUCCUUGAAGGCAGAGACCAUGUCUUUUUGUCAUUAUCCCCGGCUUCAAGCAUGGAGCCCAGCACCUCCGGAGCGGGUACUCAGUGCGUAUCAGCUACAACAAAACCAAGCACAACGACAAUAAGUGCCUUUCAGAACCUUGUCCACUUACUGAAAUGCUGCCAUUCUUCUGAGUCCAGGGCAAACCCCCAUCCCCCAGCAGGGUGCUCUGCUCUUCCCAGCCAAUGGCUCUCCCCCUCCUCCAAACACGGUGCUAAGCAUCCAUUGCUUUGUAUAAUCUGUCACAUGGCCGUGAGUGUUUGCCUUUUCACGCCAGCUACUAGGAAGCUCCUCGGGAACCUGACUUACAUUGUUGUACCCUGGCACCUUCUGUGCCUAUAAAUGUGCAGCAAAUGCUUUUGAUUCCAAGUGUACAACAUCCAGGGAUGCCUGGCUGCCUCAGUCCGUAGAGCGUGAGAUUCUUGCCGCGGGGUCCUGAGUUCAAACCCCACAUCAGGAAAGGAGAAGUCCGGAGACGUAUUUGAGCCCGUGGCCACCUGGCUUCAGCAGCCACGCUUUCUACCCAAGCAGCCUACUCUUCCAUCCGCAGGUGGGAUGGGCCUGCUGACCAUCACUCUCCAGGUAAGAGCAGUGAGUUGGGGGCAUGAGUUCAGACAGGUUUCUCUGGUGUUGCAAGGCCAGACUUUCCAUGCAAACCACCUCCCCAACCAUAUCAACGGUGCCCCCCGAUAUAUGUUCCCCGACUUCUUCCUUUGUAAUAGAACCCCUGGUUUUCAGCUGGUGACUUGGCCAACGGAACUAAAGACUUCUCCCUGAAGGUAGUUGUGGACAUGUGGCUAGGUUCUGGCCAGUGGGAUGUAAGCAGAGGUAUCAAGGAUAACUUUUGAGAGGGGUCCUUAACAUAGGGGCACACCCUUCUUUAGUCCUUCCUCUUGUGCAGGCUGGAAUUUUUAAAACAUGAU